GUGUUUAAAAUAAGUCAUGUGAAACAUACUCCAGCAGAAUCUGUCUUUUUUUUUUCCAGUGACUACAAAAGGAAUCACAAAAUACUGCAGAUGCAGAGGUCUGCCCUAUAGAAGUCUAAACUUGGACAGGAGCAUCCCAUUCGAUACGUGUGGAGGAGUUACUCCCUCCUCACAAGUCACUGCAGAUGUUUUGCAGAUGAAAAUGCAUCCUGCAAACAACAGGGAGCCGGGGUGAGGCACCGGGGGAAUGGACCAGCUCACACCGUGGCACUGGCGGUCCCUCCUGCUCCAGCUGGAUCUUCACCCCCUGGUUUUCUUAUCACUGGUGGCCACUUGAUGGAGAUGCCCAAGUCAGAGACCAUCUUAACCCAGGUUCCUGCCGUUGGGACAGAGGAUCCAGCUCCUCCAAAAAUGGUGCCAGGAAUGCAGAAGAGCAUCUGUUGGUGGUGGUGUCUUUUCACUGGAGAAGGGGAGAUGAGAGCUGGUGCUGUCAGGACAGUUCAGAGCCCCAACUCAUGCGGUUGCAUUUAA
rnacentral:lncRNA from 1 species